AAGUGUUAAAGUUGGCAGAAUCGAGUUUUUUCAUCAGGCAGCUCAGUCUACUAGUACCGUGGUGAAAUUCUUAUUCAUAUAUCACAUUAAUUCACUGUGGAUGUAACCGACCUUAUUAGAAAAAGUAGAAUAUUUAUCUAUUAUCACAAAGAUAGAAGAUAUAAUACAAUCUAUUUAUCACUAGAAUUGCCCCGAUAGGUUUAGGUUGUUUAAUUUUAAUAUGCUCCUUCCCUUGGAAAUGUGUAGAGUGUAGAAUUUAUAAAUGUAAUUUUUCCAAGUGGAAUUUCUGAGCAGAGUAAUCUACGCCAAUGAUAGAAUCCAUUCUUUAUUUAUCUGUCUCAGUUAUGCAUUAACAUUUAAUGCUUUUUUAACAGAAUUUUUUAAAAUCCCAAGGCAAAGACAUAAAACUAAAUUAUGUUUUUUUUUGCAACGUCUUGUAUGCAUGGUAGGAUCGCGUCAGAGCGUCACACGCUCAGACGCAGUAAUGUGAAAUAUAAAAUAUUGUAUUCUGCUAGUAUAAUACUACAAUUUCUAUGCAUAAUAAAAGUUGUGGUGGAUACGAUUUUUAAUGUAAUGAUUUCUAUCCAUCCAAAUGUGCUAACUAGAAAUAAUAGUAAUAGGUGAAACCCUGAACAGAAAGGGCUUUAAGAACACCAUUUAUGCGAUCAUUAGUUUUUUCAUUUAGAGCUCAGUCUAAUAUUCGGUCUUUUAUCAUACUAUAAACUACGUCCACAGCACUACUUUUUUAAAAAACAUAUUACCAGAUUUUACGUACAUGGGUUUGCAUUUUCGCUUUCUUACGUUUGUCUACCUACCACGUUUUUACGAAUCAGAAAUCCGUAAAAAUUUAAAGUCGAGAAUUCAAACUACAUCAUCAAAACAACUCACCAGUUUAGAUGGCGUGGCAUUUAUUUUGUUUACAGUCGUGGUAUCAUGGGUCAUUUCUUGAUGCUAUGCUUGUGCGUUAUUGUUAUUGUGUUCAGUAGCGCCAAUUUAUGAGACACUUUGGAAAUAUAAGACUUUCUCAAGUUCAAAGAACAAUUAAAAAUUGGGCACAUCUGCAUCAAUGUUUUAUUAUCUAAAACCAAAUGUGUGUCUUUGUGUAUCCAUUUAAAUACAAAAUUUAUUUCUGCUUA